UACGUAGGGGGCAAGCGUUGUCCGGAAUCAUUGGGCGUAAAGAGCGCGUAGGCGGCCAGAUAAGUCCGGUGUGAAAGUCCCAGGCUCAACCUGGAUGACGCGGAACUCGGAUCUGCUAGAGUCCGGAAGGGGCCAGUGGAAUUCCCGGUGUAGCGGUGAAAUGCGCAGAUAUCGGGAGGAACACCAAUGGCGAAGGCAGCUGGCUGGGACGGUACUGACGCUGAGGCGCGAAAGCGUGGGGAGCAAACAGG
rnacentral:rRNA from 1 species